GCCGUGGAAAAGCUGCAUGGGCUGUAAAUGUUCUUUUUACACAUCCAGAUUUUUCUAGGGAACCCGGACUAAGGGUAUGAAUCAGGAGGAUGUAUUUAGUCCAGGCGCCUUUGCUUUCUCGAAUCUCCUCUAGAUUUGCUCCUCCAAAGGAAUGUGAGGAUCACCGACACCGCCGUUUGGAGGAAAUUCGUUGUUUCUGUCGUAAAUAGUCUUCUGGUCAGGAAGAAAAAGGAACACAGUCGGAGCAGGAAGGGCAGAGCUAGGUCUGAAUAAGAGCUCUGUGCUGAGAGACAGAGACGCGUCUGCAAGACAGAGAGAGACUGAACAGAGAGGUCCCGAUGUCUCCCUCUGCUAUUGGACCAAACUGAAUGAAAUUUACAAAGCCAGCAGCCAAUAGAUCUCCGCAGUCGGCUUCAUCACUACAGAAACCACAUCCACAGCUACAAGCGAAUGCAAAGAGCAGCUAAUCCCAGCGCAAACCAGCUGUUAACAGAGAGAUUCCUGGGGCCAGGAUGGCAAACAGUGACUGCCAUGCUCACUGCCCUGUCCACACCUUCUUGGAAGGAAUUGCUAUGGAGAGUCUUGUUUUCAUGCUCUGAAUACUGUUGAUUGGACCAAUAGAGGGCCUCCGACCCAAAAGAAGGAGAGAGCCUGGACAUCUCAGACGUGGUCAGAUUACAAAGCAGAUCUUCAUCUUGGUGUAGAAUUUCUGAAUUCCACAAAAUCUUUCUCUACCUCAAGCUGUUAUUCAUCCAUCUCAUCUUGUAACUGUGGUCCCUCCAGGACCAGUUCAACUGACCCCAUCUUGUCAACAGAGUAAUUAAGAAAUUGUCUUUCAGAAAAUCUGCAAAGUCGCAUAGCCAGAGCAUGCACAGAAGAAGAAAUCUUGACCUGAAAUGACCGUGGAACCAAAGAUUCUCCUCAUCACGGAACCAAAGAACUGGGAUAUGACUGAACUUUAAAGUUGGACUCUUAUCAGAAGUGAGGGGUCUGCCAUUCAGGAAGAUGCUGUGUUAAAAUUCCUUCCCCACCUCAUCGUAAAUGUUUAGAACCUUACCAUAAAUGUUUAGAACCUUAACAUAAAUGCUUGAAGCACACCAAUCAAAACUUAUCCUGCCAGCAUUUCCUCGUGCCGGCCUGUUCUCCCUAACCUCUUAAAUUUCAUCCCAGAUCCUGAAUUGGGGAGACAGACCUGAGGGCACACAUCAGCUGUCUCCUUGCAGAUAGAUCUUGCAGAAUAAAGCUGAUCUCUU